GGAAGAGGCCCUGGUGGCACAGUGAGCUUACUGGUUAAGUAAAUAUUGGACCCAAAGGAUUUUGCAGAGAGCAAUUUAUUUGGCAGAGAGAGAGAAAGAGAGAGACAGGGACAGAGACAGA